rnacentral:tRNA from 1 species
UCCCUGGUGGUCCAGUGGUUAAGACUUUACGCUUCCACUGCAGAGGGCUUGGGUUUGAUCCCUGGUCAGGGAA